ACUGAGCUCUCAAUGCCAGCGCCUGGGCUUAGAGCUUUGUGGCCAUGAGACUAGAGCCAUCCCAGAAUAAGGAACAAAUACGUACACCACUUGACUGCGCCCAAACCCAUCUCGCUUUGUUGUUCAUCAUGUAGCUGCAGCUUUAUUUGUGAAAGGGGGAAGUGAGGAAGGGAAUGGGGGAAAUAGGAGGAGGAAUCUCCAGGACCUUAUCUACAAUCUAAAUAGUCGUGGUAAGAUCUCCGGGAGUGAUAAAGGCGAUCGGACAGCCCGGUGUCUCCCAAUAGCGGCGGUCUAACAAUAAAACCUGAUAGUGUCCGGGGGAAAACCCCACAUCCACGACCAGCGCCACGUUUGGGCUUUGUGCCAAUAAGGAGACACUGUAGACUAUCGAUCAGAAUCGUCUAUUAUCAGAGCGUGCGUCUGGGGUUCCAGCGUGGCCUUUAUGAGCGGUGGCGAAGGCGGGACACGCGCCAGGCGCCCAGCGAAGGACGUGGGACAAUGGCCCAGCCCGAGGACGCGGGACGCCGCCCGACCAGGGGAUGGAAGCUCCAGCAGCGGGUCCGGGAGCCCGGAGGCCAGGAGGGCUGCGCGCUCUGAAGCGCCGGGCUGCUCGGGCAGACGAAUAACAGAGGAAGGCGAGUCACUCACCGUGGUCUUGACCGGCACGUAGAGCACUUGCUUUGCGCCGCCGCCCCCGCGGACCUCGUCCGGCUGGCCCAGCUGGAAACCCUUCGAUUUGACCCAGAAUUUAAAUUUGGCGUUGUCCGUGGAGCUCGACUCGCAGCCGUUGAGGAGCUGGACGAUCCGCUCGUAUUUUUUACGGGUCACCGUCUUGGUCUUGCCUGAGUCCCCUUUGCAGUUCACACGGGAGGUUUCGGAUGUCUAUUUUCCCCCUGCCACGUCAUGGACACCCCCUCCACACCUCAGAGUGGCCAAAUAUGAGUUCCUCCG